rnacentral:rRNA from 1 species
UGGGGAAUCUUGCACAAUGGAGGAAACUCUGAUGCAGCGAUGCCGCGUGAGUGAAGAAGGCCCUUGGGUUGUAAAGCUCUUUCGUCGGGGAAGAAAAUGACUGUACCCGAAUAAGAAGGUCCGGCUAACUUUGUGCCAGCAGCCGCGGUAAUACGAAGGGACCUAGCGUAGUUCGGAAUUACUGGGCUUAAAGAGUUCGUAGGUGGUUGAAAAAGUUAGUGGUGAAAUCCCAGAGCUUAACUCUGGAACUGCCAUUAAAACUUUUCAGCUAGAGUAUGAUAGAGGAAAGCAGAAUUUCUGGUGUAGCGGUGAAAUGCGUAGAUAUCAGGAGGAAUACCAAUGGCGAAGGC